CGAACGGGUGAGUAACGCGUGAGGAACCUGCCUCAAAGAGGGGGGACAACAGUUGGAAACGACUGCUAAUACCGCAUAAGCCCACGGUGCCGCAUGGCACAGAGGGAAAAGGAGCAAUCCGCUUUGAGAUGGCCUCGCGUCCGAUUAGCUAGUUGGUGAGGUAACGGCCCACCAAGGCAACGAUCGGUAGCCGGACUGAGAGGUUGAACGGCCACAUUGGGACUGAGACACGGCCCAGACUCCUACGGGAGGCAGCAUG
rnacentral:rRNA from 1 species